rnacentral:lncRNA from 1 species
UUCUAAAGGCCUCAACUACAUCCUCAUACUCUGCAAUAUCUGGAAGAUCCUGCAGCUCAUGUUGUCCAUCAUCAUUAACCAUCGAAAUGGUCGCCAAAAAUCCAUUUGCUCUUUUAUCCAAUAACUACUCAACAUGUAGCAUGUAGACAAUAAAACUCUCCACUGCUCCAAGAAUAUGAACUCUUUAUCUGAGGAAAAUCGACACUACAUGUGUCAUGACAAUCAAUCCAUCACAAGAAUGACAAUGUAAAAACUCAGCUCCAUCUUUGACGAAUCUCCGAAUAACUCGACUCCUCCAAGCAUAACUGGUACACCUCGAUGAAUAUAAAUAGCUCUCAAUGUCCUAUGUCAGCUGUCCGAACUGACACAUCUUUGAAACGAUCAACACUGCCAAAAACUGGCAAACAUACCAAGUGUAACUCCCAUAUCAACACAAUGAAGCUGCCCCACCCUAAUUCAAAAGAGAUCUCCACGAGUUUUACAAACCACACAUACCUCCAAAAAAAUCAAUAUACUCAUACACUAAAACAACACAUGCCAACCAAUAUCUCAAACCUCAAAUCA